GGCAUCGUAGCUCAGUCGGCUAGAGCGUUGGUUGAAUUAAAGCAUUCCCCUUGCUGGCAUGGGUUCAACUCCCACCAAGGCCA
rnacentral:tRNA from 1 species